rnacentral:misc_RNA from 1 species
GAUGAAGAACGUAGCGAAAUGCGAUAAGUAGUGUGAAUUGCAGAAUUCAGUGAAUCAUCGAAUCUUUGAACGCACAUUGCGCCCCUUGGUAUCCCGAGGGGCAUGCCUGUUCGAGCGUCAUUUCACCACUCAAGCCUGGCUUGGUGUUGGGCGACGUCCCCUUUAGGAACGCGCCUCGAAACGCUCGGCGGCGUGGCACCGGCUUUAAGCGUAGCAGAAUCUUUCGCUUUGGAAGUCGGGGCCCCGCCUGCCGGAAUACCUACUCGUAAGGUUGACCUCGGAUCAGGCAGGGAUACCCGCUGAACUUAAGCAUAUCAAUAAGCGGAGGA